UAUUARUUUGUGUUUAAUUAUGAAACUGGAUUUGAAAGUAAAUGAUUUAUUUUUAAGUAAUARAAUGAAUUUAGAUUCUAAAAUAUGUACACAUCGCCCGUCACUCUUGCAUAAAGUAAGAUAAGUCGUAACAUAGUAGGUGUACCGGAAGGUGURCCUGGUUUUAUAGGUAAAUAGCUAAAUAAGUAUAUUUUUUACACUAAUAUGAUAUCAAUAAGAUUUUACUUUUAUUUUAAUGGUUUAAAUUAAUGACGUUGUGUAUUAUGUAAAAUUUAUUUGUAAGGGGAGUUACAUUUAAAUUAUAAUAUAAUGCAUAAUAGUAGUACCUUUUGUAUCAGGGUUAAUUAAAAUUAAUUAAUAAAUUUAAUUUUCUCGAAGUAGGAAGAUUUAGAAUAAUUAUAACGUUAAUGUGGAAAAAUUAAGAACAAUAUUAUUCUAGUUUUGAUAUUAAUUUAGAUUUCUAAUAUCUAGUUACUUUAUUUUUUGAUUUAAUCAUUUUUAUUUAUGCAAAUGAUUGUAUAAACUAUUUAUAUUUUUAAGGGUAAUCUUAUAAUUAAUUUAAUAGACUUUUUAUUUUGUUUAUUUAAUUUGCUUAGAAUUAGUUAUUUUCAUAUGUAAAAAUUAUGUUAAUUUUAUUUAWWAUUUUAAAAUGGCUUUWAGGGGAGUUAAAGUUAUUUAMUWUUAUAAAAUAUUUUUAAUAAUMAUGAUUAAAUYAGUAGAAAAUUUUAAUAGWSAUUAMGAAYUCAGCAAUUWUUGUAUUCGUCUGUUUAUCAAAAACAUUUURGGGAGAAAAUUAU
rnacentral:rRNA from 1 species